rnacentral:rRNA from 1 species
CCUACGGGCGGCAGCAGUGAGGAAUAUUGGUCAAUGGCCGCAGGGCUGAACCAGCCAAGUCGCGUGAGGGAUGACGGUCCUAUGGAUUGUAAACCUCUUUUGUCAGGGAGCAAAGGGCGCCACGUGUGGCGCUUUGCGAGUACCUGAAGAAAAAGCAUCGGCUAACUCCGUGCCAGCAGCCGCGGUAAUACGGAGGGUGCGAGCGUUAUCCGGAUUUAUUGGGUUUAAAGGGUGCGCAGGCGGAAUGUCAAGUCAGCGGUAAAAUUUCGGGGCUCAACCCCGUCGUGCCGUUGAAACUGGCGUUCUUGAGUGAGCGAGAGGUAUGCGGAAUGCGUGGUGUAGCGGUGAAAUGCAUAGAUAUCACGCAGAACCCCGAUUGCGAAGGCAGCAUACCGGCGCUCAACUGACGCUCAUGCACGAAAGCGCGGGUAUCGAACAGGAUUAGAUACCCUGGUAGUC